rnacentral:lncRNA from 1 species
UUUUUUUUUCUUUUUUAGCCUGUUGAUGGGAUGGAACACAUUGAUUUUUGAACAUUGAACCAGCCUGGCAUAUUGAAUAAAUCCUAAUUGGUUGGUUGUGUGUGUGUGUGUUUGUGUGUAUACAUUAUAUACACAAUAUAUAAUAUAAAUAGUAUUAGUGUAUAUAUAAGUAUACAUGUAUUUAAGCAUAUCAUUAGAUUCAUUUUGCUAAUAUUGUGUUGAGGAUAUUUGCAUCUUUUUUAAGAAGAGAUAAUUAGUCUGCAGUUCCUUGGUUUUCAAUUUUUAAAAUCCAUAAACAGGGUACAUAAAACAAUAAUAAUUGAAAACAGACUAAAAUAUAACACAAAUGUAGAAGGAGAAGUUGAGGGAAAUAUAAAAUGGUAACAUAGACAAUGGGGAGUCAAGAGAUACUGUCUGGAGUUGAUGGAUCAAGAAACAAUCCUCAAGUCUCCCUGUUGUGUUGCAGCAAAAAUAAAUCCAACUAGUAUCCAUGAGGAUGUAGGUUCAAUCCCUGGCCUUGCUCAGUGGGUUCAAGAUCCAGCGUUGCCCUGAGCUGUGGUGUAAUUUGCAGACACAUCUCAGUUCCUGUGUUGCUGUGGCUGUGGCAUAGGCUUGUAGCUGUAGCGAGGAUUCAACCCCUAGCCUGGGAAUUUCCAUAUGACAUGGGUGCAGCCCUAAAAAGCAAAAAAAAAAAAAAAAAAAGAGAAAGAGAGAGAGAAAAGAAAAGAAAAAAAGCCAAUCAUUAAAUAUAUUGGAAGGAGAAUAACUCGAAACAAUUUACUAAUUUUUAUUUUUUUAAUUUUAUUGGAGUAUAGUUGACUUACGACGUUGUGUUGUAUGUGUACAGCAAGGUUAAAAAAACAUAAUUUACUUAGAGGAGAACAGAUGUCAUGUAGUAGUGGGGGUGAGUUAAAUCUCUCAGCUUUCAUGAUGGAUACAAAAUAGGUACUUGUAUGUUUACAAUACAAGCUAGGCUAACAGAACAAAGGAAUACCCAAAUAAUGUUUUGUUCCCCUCUCUUGUAGUAGUUUGAGUAGUUGGUCCUGGCUGACAUAUUGGUUUAACAGGAUCUGGGCUCUAGGCUCCUUUGAUAUGUUGCUGUGCUGUCUUCAUCACCUGGCCUACAUCUUAUUAUCCAUAUAGAUGCUUUAGCGUUACCAUCAUAACUUCACUUGUGGCUAUGGAUUAAGGAAAACCCCAAGAAGAAGACGCAUUCCUUUAAGAGCCUGACAUGGAAGCACUUAUAUCCCUUUUCAUAUCCUAUUCGUCACAGAACUAGUCACAUGACCUCAUCUAUCUAUAAGAAAAACUGGGAAAUAUGGUCUUUAGUGCGGCAGAUAUGUAUUCAGCUAAAAAUGCUUUUAAUGUGGAGGAAGAGAACAGAGAUGGGAGAUAGUAGGCACUGCUAUUAUGUUUACGUUUUAUAAGUACAGGUAGAAGCAAAUUGUUUGGCAUUAUGGAGUCAACUACAGACCCUUUAAAACCAAAAAUAUACAAAUAUGGAGGCCUCAGAGUGGGAAGAACCAUAUCUUUUAAUUUUGUACCUUUCUGUACUUGUUGUAUUAUUUCCAUAUGUUUUUAUAAUGAUGCUGUAAUAAUAAUAUGUAAAUGUAAUUUAUAUGGAAAAUAUGUAUCCUUUUUUUAGGUGGUAGGGAAAAAAACGACCAUUGUAGCAGAAUAAAGAAAAUCCAGACUUAAGAAAAAUAAAAAGCUUUAGAUAAAUUACCUUUUGAUUUUUAUGACUUCUCUAGUCCUGUUUUCUCUUGUUUGUUCACAGAGGGGCAUUUGCCCUUGCCAGAUAGGUCGAGAAAUAAAUGAUGAGAUGAAAAGAUAGUCAUCAUGACUUUGGGCAAAUGAAGUUACUAAAACGAGAAACAGGAAAAGGAGAUCAAACACACCCAAGGCCAUUUUAUCUACUCUUGGACUGGGGCAAUUCUUCUGUUUUGGGGGCUUUGACCUAUGUGAUGCUGCCGUGUACUGAGCACUGAAAGAUUGUGCUGCUUCCCUUUGAAGAUUAUUUCUUGGUCCAACAGAUUUCAUCCAUUGGAAAUUAGGGGCUUAUUUUCUAUUCCAGGUACAUUUUCCUUUUCUUAAUAUAAUCCCAUUAUUUUUAAUUAUACUUUUCACAUCAUCCCUAUAAUUUCCAUCUUAUUAGGAUUCUCAAAUACCUGUAGAUAGCAACUCCUUAGACAUUAUUUUCUCAAAUGCACCUAUUAUUUCUUCUUUGAUCUUUUCUCUUAAGUUAGUUUCUAUAGCCACUCAGUGUCCAUGGUUUUAAGGAUUCUUUUUUCUGCAUUUUUCUUCAGUUGGGACUGUAUCUAUAUUUCCUGAGAGCAGAAUAUAAAGUUUUUCUCUUGUUGUGGGGUCUGAAUUUUAUUUUCAUAUAGCGUGUAUGUCUCAGUGCUUAUGUGUAUGUAUCACCUGUAUUUUUUAAGGUAUUAAAGUUGAUAGUCAAUGACUUGAGGUGAAUAAGGGGAUAUUUGACCAGAUGGCCUUGAAGUUUACAUUAAACUCUGAGUUUUUCAAUUUUAUGUAAAGAUUACAAAUUGUUUUUCAUCUAUAAAUUGUGCAGCUAAGCAGUGAUCUAUAAAAAGAAUUACAAAAGUCAAAUGUAAAACUUCUCUUUUACCAUUUUCCAAUCUUUAGUAAUAUGAAUAUAUUUUAGACUUUAACAAGUAUUUGUGCAUUGUUAUAUUUUGCUUCCAUAACUGGAUGCUAAUUCAUAUAUAAAUGUUCAUAUAGUCUAUUAUCCACCUUCAUAUCCUUUAAAAUAGUUAGGCAUUGUACUACUCUAUCAUAACUUGUUUAACCAUUUAAAUACACAAAUCUUAAAAACCAUUAUCCCUGAGUUAUAACAUAACAUCAAUAUAUAACAGGUGACUGAUUAAUUAAAUAGAGAAAUAAACUUGAUUUUAGUACUGAGAUUACCACUUAGAACCCAGAGGAUGUCCACAGAAUACAUAAAUGUUAUUUUAUAGUCUUAAGUCCUUUUUCUUACUUUGAGAAAACACAUCAGAAUUGCAUGGUUGAUGAUUUUGCAAUGAUGUGCUUCAGAAUUUUGCCCACUGUUAGAUUUUUUUUUUUUUAAGUCUUUUUGCCAUUUCUUGGGCCACUCCCACGGCAUAUGGAGGUUCCCAGGCUAGGGGUCUAAUUGGAGCUGUAGCUGCCAGCCUAUGCCAGAGCCACAGCAAUGCGGGGUCUGAGCCGCGUCUGUGACCUACACCACAGCUCAUGACAACGCCAGAUCCUUAACCCACUGAGCAAGGGUAAGGAUCGAACCUGCCACCUCAUGGUUCCUAGUCAGAUUCGUUAACCACUGUGCCACGACGGGAACUCCCACUGUUAGUUUUUUAACAUUUGACUUUUCUGUAAGGUACAUGCAAUGUGUUUGGCUGUAUAUCCCUUUGUAUUAAAAACUAAAUCCAAAAGGAAUCUUUCUCUCCAGCUUUAAGAGUACUUUUAAAAUGCACAAAAAUUCUCCUUUUGGAUACACUUUCUGCAGUUCCCAGUGGCUAAUAUUUCUGAAAGUGUAAAAUAUGCUUCUAGUUCUUACAGUGACAGUUCCUAAAUAAAAGUGUUGCUAACUGGUCUCAUGUGAUGAUACUUACAAAGUUAGUGGGCAAAUAUAUAGGUCUCCCUUCAGUACUGAAAUUGCCUUUGGCAUAUGUUAUUUUGUAAAAUAUGCAGUUUCUAUGCUGGGCACCAAUACAUGGCUGAAAGUACAGGGAAGAUGGAUAAAUUUCACUAUGUGUGAGAGAAGCAAACUAUUUGGAUAAGUUGCACCCUAGAGACUAAAAUGUUUAGACUCUGUGACCCAAGAAUUGUUCCUAACUUAUUUAGAAUGUGAGGAGAAAUGCUUUGGGCCAGAUGUGAAUUAAGUAUAUACAUGUCUAUAUGUAAAGUCAAGUCUAGCCUAUGACAGAGAUUCAGCCUGGGAGGAAUUGCUAAGUGGUAGGAAGAAAGGAAAAGGUAAUUUGGCAGAUAUACACAUAAAAUUAUGUUUUAGUAUUUUGCUUGACCAGGAAACGAGAUUCUGCAGUCAAUAUUUAAAAAGUUAAAAUGUCUACUUUGUGCAGAAAUUGGGCUACAUACCCAAUAGAGAAUCUUUCUGAAAUCCCUAGUGACUCAGUGAAGCAGGUGUUGUUAUCAUGUUCAUGGUACAGAUGUGGAAAUUGAAGGACAAAGUGGUUAAGUUGCUUGUUUACGGUUACUCAUCUAGUAUGCUGUGGACGAUUCUGAUUCUUUUUCACUUCUAAUCCUGGUGCCUGGUCUCCCAAACCUGUGCUUUUCAGUGGGACAGAGGAGUAAAGAGCAAGCUAGCUACCUUUAUAUUUGAGAAGGUCACAAAUUUAUGGGUUGAGAGGAAAGAAAACAUCCCUUCUAAGUUUCCAAGGAAGCCUAGUUUGUAGACACCUGGUGGUUCCCAUUUAAGGAAGACUCAGUCUGUACCUACAACAAAGAGAUUUUUAUUUUAUUUUUUUUAAGUAGACAGAAGUUUGGGGGCAAAAAUAGUGCAGGGGGAGGGAACCCAGGAAUUGAGUUUGUUGGAUUUUUGAGUCUACACUUAACUGCUGGGUGAAUGUGAAGUUCUUUCCCACUGGAAGAUUGUAUGGCUAUAAUCACUAUGAAAUUGAUCACAGUCAAGAUUGAGAAUGAAGGUGAUCAUAAUGAUAAAGGUGAUAAUAAUGAUAAAGAUAUUAUCUAUGAGUAAUACUUCACACUGCUUUUCUGUUUGUAAAGCACUUUCAUAUAUCAUUUCAUUUGAUCUUCUCUCCAACCCUUGGAAGUAGGUACUAGCAUCAAUCUCUAAUUUCUAUUUUAUGGAUGAGAUCAUUGGACUUCAUAGAUGGGCAAAUACAAAUUUAGAUUUGGUAUUAAAAUAGUAAUGAUAACCUAAUUUAAAUGAAGAGUGGGUGUGACUCAGGACCUCAGUAGUGAAGAGAAUUACCAAAAAUAUUAAAUACAAAUCAAAUUAAUAGCUUUGAGAGUUCCAGCAAAGCCUGGACAAUUAUAACCUUUUCAACAGAGGACAAAGCUAACAGUUAUGCUUAAUUCCCCCCCCACCCCCAGCUUAGGCUGUAGAAUAUCCAUUAAGUUGAUAAAGCCUGAAAUAGUCCCCUUAGAGAAGAACUAAGGGAAAACUCUCUAGAUUCAAAACUGCAGAAAGUGAAAACAGGAAUGAAACAGGAAUGUCGAAGAGUAGCCCAAUUGGGAAAACUGCUCUGGCUGGGCCUAUGGUCAUUGUAGGCCUCCUAAGAAAGAUGCAGGUCAGUGCAUACAGAGGUCCAAACGAUAAGACCCGAACACAUACCAUGGGUGUGGGAGGGGAACUGUGGAAGACUGAAUGGUACAUUCUGAGAGCAGAAGUCCUCAAUAUCAGGCCCCAAAGAGGAGCUUUGUAUGACUGAGGCCAUGUCAGAGAUAGAAGCCUCAUUCUGCUUAUGUCAUCACUGACUCCUAAUCUGUUCUUGGACUUCUUCUUUUGUUUCUAUUUCUUUGCCUUCUCCAUGACGCUCCUUUUUAUUGACCAUCAUUGUUGAUGCCCCUCAAAGUUCUGCCCAUGAUUUCUUGUCUCUAGCCCUUGACACAGUUACCCUUGAAAAUCAAAUUUAAAGCCAAGUUUAUGUUAUCUAUAUUCUCAAAAUCUCAGGUUCUAAUAUCCAAGCCCAUAUUUUUUACUGCCUAUAUAUUUUUUAUCUCAAAAUGUUUAAAUCAGAACUUAAUUUUUCAGGCUAAAAGUGUCAAGAGUUUCAAGAGUUAUCUCUUAUUCAUCCCUCUAACUUGCCACCCACCCCAUUCGAUUCUGUUGCUUCUACCUCUGAAAUAUCUUUUCUAUCCAUCUUUUCCUUGCUAUUUCUACCACUAAUGAUCUCUUUUGUUCUAUUGCCAUUAUUAUUUUAUGACUAUUACAAUAAUCUAGCCAGUCUCUCUGAAUUCAGACUUCAACCUGUCCAAUAAUCCUGUAUACUAGCACUCACUUCAUUGGCUUAAAGCUAUCUUUCUCAAACUGUUCCAAAUAAUGAUAAUUACAGGGAAUGCUAAUAGAGAGUAUACUUUUUCUGAGCAGGGAGUUGUCAAAUGCUGUUAGGAAAUUUGGGGAUAAACAAACUAAAAUAUGUUUAUAGGACUUUUCAGAGCCUCUAGCAUGUUAAUUUACAUUAUGAAUCUUCAAUAUAAUAUGUAAUCCCAUAAGAGUAAGGAUUUGUUUGUCUUUUUCAUUGAUAUAUUUCCAGAAUACCCUUUUGGUACCCAUCAAAUAGUAGAUGCUCAAUAUUUACCCACUUGAGUGAACAAAAGAAUGAAAGAUGAGUGUAUGUUAAACAGCAUUUUCUACUUUAAUAUAAAUAUAAAAACAUUUUAAUCAAGUUACCUCUCAAGGGAGCAAUGUCUAUGAAAUAUUUUCUCUGAAACAUGGCUCUAAAGUAGAGUUUCUCAGCUUUGGCACUAAUGAAAUUUGGGCAGAAAAUUCUUUAUGGCAGGGGCCUUUCCUGUGUACUGCAGAAAGUUUAGCAGCCUGUUGCCCUCUACCUCCUAGGUCCCCAAUAGCACCAGCCUUCCCAUCUCUGACAACCCAAAAUGUCUCCAGACCUUGCCAAAUAUGCUUGGAGUAAGGGGAGAGGGGCAAAAUUGUCCCUGGUUAAAGAACCAAUAUAGUUGGAGUUUAUUAUUCUCCAGCUCAAAAAUUUUCACAACCUCUUCAUUGCCUGUGAAAUUAAGUCUGCAUUCCUUAGGCUUAUAUGCAAGUUCCCCCUUUGUCCUGAAUCUUACACAUGAGUGCACGUGCACACACACGUGUACCUGCAAUCAGGGAGGUAGUACAUGGUGGAAAAAUGGGUACUUCAUUGAAUGUAAUUCUGACAUGAUCGAUCUCAGCCUAUCACAGAGGUCAUCACUUUAUCCUUCUCUAUCCCGCACCUCCAGCCAGCCAACUAUUUAUUUGAACACUUACUUUUUUUCUUUACAACAUAUGCUAUUCAAGGUUGCCCUUGAUAAUCUUCCAUAAUUCUGAUUUAACCUGAGCACAAACGUUUUGAUGAACACUGCAUAAUGUAGCCUGGUUCUCUAAAUUUCAUUAGAGGACCCCCUUACUUUUAUAUAUGACCCAGAUGUAUAUUUGCUUA